UCGAGAAUUUUUCACAAUGGGGGCAACCCUGAUGGAGCGACGCCGCGUGGAGGAUGAAGGCCUUCGGGUUGUAAACUCCUGUCAUGCGGGAACAAGCAAGUGAUAGUACCGCAAGAGGAAGAGACGGCUAACUCUGUGCCAGCAGCCGCGGUAAUACAGAGGUCUCAAGCGUUGUUCGGAUUCAUUGGGCGUAAAGGGUGCGUAGGUGGUGACGCAAGUCUGGUGUGAAAUCUCGGAGCUUAACUCCGAAAUUGCACCGGAUACUGCGUAACUCGAGGACUGUAGAGGAGAUCGGAAUUCACGGUGUAGCAGUGAAAUGCGUAGAUAUCGUGAGGAAGACCAGUUGCGAAGGCGGAUCUCUGGGCAGUUCCUGACACUGAGGCACGAAGGCCAGGGGAGCAAACG
rnacentral:rRNA from 1 species